CAGUAGCCACGGGAAUACGAAGGGGGCUAGCGUUGCUCGGAAUUACUGGGCGUAAAGGGCGCGUAGGCGGACAGUUCAGUCGGGGGUGAAAGCCCGGGGCUCAACCUCGGGAUUGCCUUCGAUACUGGCUGUCUUGAGUAUGAGAGAGGUGUGUGGAACUCCGAGUGUAGAGGUGAAAUUCGUAGAUAUUCGGAAGAACACCAGUGGCGAAGGCGACACACUGGCUCAUUACUGACGCUGAGGCGCGAAAGCGUGGGGAGCGAACAGGAUUAGAUACCCCCGUAGUCCCUGUCUCUUAUAC
rnacentral:rRNA from 1 species